CCUACGGGUGGCAGCAGUGGGGGAUAUUGCACAAUGGAGGAAACUCUGAUGCAGCGACGCCGCGUGAGGGAAGACGGUCUUCGGAUUGUAAACCUCUGUCUUUGGGGAAGAAAAUGACGGUACCCAAAGAGGAAGCUCCGGCUAACUACGUGCCAGCAGCCGCGGUAAUACGUAGGGAGCGAGCGUUGUCCGGAAUUACUGGGUGUAAAGGGAGCGUAGGCGGGCGAGAAAGUUGAAUGUUAAAUCUACCGGCUUAACUGGUAGCUGCGUUCAAAACUUCUUGUCUUGAGUGAAGUAGAGGCAGGCGGAAUUCCUAGUGUAGCGGUGAAAUGCGUAGAUAUCUGGAGGAACAUCAGUGGCGAAGGCGACUAUCUGGCACAUAACUGACGCUGAGGAGCGAAAGCGUGGGUAGCAAACAGGAUUAGAUACCCUUGUAGUC
rnacentral:rRNA from 1 species